CCGCGUGAAUGAUGAAGGCCUUCGGGUUGUAAAGUUCUGUCUUCUGGGACGAUAAUGACGGUACCAGAGGAGGAAGCCACGGCUAACUACGUGC
rnacentral:rRNA from 1 species